UAAACUCCUCAAAGAACAUAAGCAAGAGUGAGUAAAUUGAAUUUAUUUGUAAUUUUUUAAAAAAUCGAUUAGUGAUAAAUUUAUCACUGAACGUGUUUUUAAUAAAUUUAUUAGAUUAGUUUGGGUUAUAUAUGCCUAUUUAGUUGUAUUUAGGAUAAAUUACAAAUACAACCCCUAGGAUUUUUGCUUAAAAUAGAGAUUAUCUCUUGUAAUACAAAAAAUUACAAAUACCCACUUCUUAGAAUUUUUUAUUUAACAAAAUUAACUGAAAAAAUGAAAUUCAUAAUUGUUCUUUUAUACAAAAAUAAAAUUACCUAAAUUAUUAUUUAAAACAUAUUUCUAACAUCAUUAAAAACUGUUAAUUGACUUGAUGAUUUAUUAAUAAAAUGGGCGGUUUGUUAUGAAAUUAGAAACCUCAGGGGGUGGAAUAUAAUUUCCAGAACCAUAAGGGGCGAUUCGUAUUUUAAUCAAAUUUUAAGGAGUGUAUUUGUAAUUUAUCUUUGUAUUUAUGUAAGUGAAAGUGCAUGUAAAUAUGAAUGAAUGAUUGAUUGGGGGGAGUACUGAUGUGGUGAUAGAUGUUAUUUUUAUUAAUAAAAAUCAAAAAAGUGUUGCCGAAAACUAUCGCCGAAGGUGGUUGCUGGUGAAAUAGAAGAGAAUCAUCAUAGUGUUAAUAAUAGGUACGAAGAAGGUGAAGUAAGGGUAUUUUAGGGAUAUUGAUAAGUGAAAAAAUGAGCUGGACUUAUAGGUAAGGGAGAGGCUUCUCUCUAGUUCACUUUGUGGAUUAGAGUGUGUUGUUGGGCCCGUGGGGCUCACUAUGUGUCUCAUUUUGUCAUUUUGAUGAUCCAAACCGUUUAAUAUGUAGAAUUCGUCGAGUAUUUCAUGUCUAUAUAAAAUUACGUUGAUUAGAUAUAUGUAGAUCCUUGAUUGGAAUACAUUUGUGUCAACAAUUUAUUUUUUAAAAUCAUAUUUACCAUUGACAAAAAUAUGUUCUGAUCAAGGAGUUACUAAUAUCUGAUCAACGUGAUUUUUUGCAGAUAUGAAGUAAUCGAUGAGCUCUACAUAUUGAACAGUUCAGAUCACCUCAAUGGAUCCAUGAUAGGCUUCACGGGCCCAACAGUAUGUUUUAGUCUACACAGUGGACUGAAGAGAAACUUUUCCCUAUAGGUAAAUAAGUCUUUUCAAUGGCCCUAAAAGUUUCAAGGAAAACAUUUUCACUCUUAAAAGUGAAAAUAUUAUCGCGAAAAAUAUUAGGAUACAAAUUUCAAUUGUCAUGAAAAUGUAAUUUGAAAAAGUAAAAAAAUGGUUGUUAGUGAUAAUUUAAAAAUGUCACUAAUAAAUAUAUUUUUAGAAACAAAAUAAUUUGAUGACAAAACAGUUUACUUUUUGAAAUGAAUAUUUUGUUCUAAAAGGAUAGUAAUUAUUAUUAAAUGUCUAGUUUCAUCGCUAAAAAUACAACAAUGAAUUUUUCGGCAACUAAGAUAUUUCGUUCUUAAAUUUGUGUCUCUAAAAUUUGUUGUAGUAAGUCGAACCGUUCAUUUGUUAUAGUGAUCUGAACUAUCCAUUUUAUAUAACCCUUCUUACGACAAAAAUCAAGUUAAUCGGAUCUCAUUUGUCCAAAAGAAUUUGAUUGACUACUUUGAAAGUUAUAUUGUUGUUACUUAUUUUUGGUUAAUUGCAAUUUUCACUCUAAUAGUUGGACUCAAAUUUCACUUUAAUUUUCUAGCUUCAAUUCAAACAAUUUGGUCCUUUCAUCUAAAUUGGAGGUUAAAAUUAAUAAUUUUGAUGGUCAAUUUACUAAGGUUUCAAUUUGAUUCUUUUGUUUAAAUUGAAUGUUAAAAUUAAAAAUUUUGAAAUAUUUGUCAAUUUACUAAGGUGUACAUGUAGACAAAAUCAACAAAAAUAUAGACGAAAGAACCAAAUUAAAACUAGACUUAAAAGUGUAUUUAAAUUGAAACUAUAAAUUGUCCCCAACAAAAUGCUAUUAAAAUGGUAAAAUUUAACAAAAAUACUUCCAAAAUCAUAUAAAGUCGUUGCAAUUUUUUUUUUCUUUCUUUUCCUCUUCUUCUUGGGUGCAAGGUUUUUGGUCCGGUCCUACCAAAGAAAUUGCUACUAAUAUACUGUUUGGAUGGACUUUUUAGUGGCUUUUUCGCUACUCACCUUGUCAUUAGUGGUUUUUUUUUUUUUUUUUUAAAUUCAAAAUAUUUUACACUUAUGAAUUCUAUUCAAUUAGACAAGAUAGGCAGAAAAAUUAACUUUUGUUUUAAAUUUGAAAAAAAAAAUACU